GUCGGGAUAGCUCAGCUGU
rnacentral:tRNA from 1 species